rnacentral:rRNA from 2 species
ACUAAGAAUAAGGGGUGGGCAAGUUCUGGUGUCAGCCGCCGCGGUAAAACCAGCACCUCAAGUGGUCAGGAUGAUUAUUGGGCCUAAAGCAUCCGUAGCCUGCUUUGUAAGUUUUCGGUUAAAUCCAUAUGCUCAACAUAUGGGCUGCCGGGAAUACUGCACAGCUAGGGAGUGGGAGAGGUAGACGGUACUCGGUAGGAAGGGGUAAAAUCCUUUGAUCUAUUGAUGACACCUGUGGCGAAGGGCGGUCUACCAGAACACGUCCGACGGUGAGGGAUGAAAAGCUGGGGAAGCAAACCGGAUUAGAUACCCGGGUAGUCCCAGCUGUAAACUAUGCAAACUCGGUGAUGCAUUGGCUUGUAGCCAGUGCAGUGCGC